UGACCUGAGCCAAAGGCAGACGCUUAACGACUGAGCCACCCAGGCGCCCCACAAACAUUUAUUCAAUGUGGCAGUUCAUGGCAAUGUAGAAGUAGAUAGGAUCCAGCUCUGACCACUAAAAACUUAGAAAGUCACAAAGCAAUGCCUUCAAUAUAAUCUUGUGCCUCUAACAACAGGGGAAUGCAAAGCGGCACUUUGUUUGCAGUGUUAGCCAUGGACAGUUGGCCAUGAUGCCUGGAUUGAGCUCUGAAGAAUGAGUAAAAGUUAACCAGCUAAAGAAAAUGGGCAGAGGCUCCAGGCAGAGGGAGCAGCAAGAAUAAAGUCACAGAGGUGUGAGGUGACAAUCAGUCUGUAGAGAACAUAAAUUAUUUACUAUGGAAUAAACGUAGGCAAAGGGUGGGGCCAGGUCUAAAUCUUUCAUGCUGAUAGGUAGUCAUGGGCAGCGGGUCAGUGAGGAACUAGGGUUGAGCUGGACCUGUAUCUGGGUCAGGGCUGGGGGACCAAGCUUUUGGAGGAUGACAGGGGACUCUUGGUGUGCUAGCCUCUCCUUCACCCAGUCACACACCACACUCACAUCCAUCUAAGAUUCUAUGUAUCUCAGGUUCUCGGUUGAGAGAAAACUAGACUAAAAGUCUUGCUGGGAUAUAUAGGGAAGACCACACAGAGGACAACCCAGGAGCAAUUUCUCCAGGUGGUAUAAAUGCAAAUGCAGAGAGAGCAAAGAGCACUGCCUGAGUUUAGGCCUCCCCAGGGAUGAGGACAUGGCUGAACCCACGUCAGAGCCUGAUGCUGUCACCUGUACUUGAGAAUGAGCAGCUUGAGCUAAGACUGUGACACAAGAAAAUCAUCUAAUUUCAAUAAUGUCUACGCUCAGGAAUUCCGGUUUGAUUGUUUAAACCUGGGUUUAGGGUUGUAUAAACUUUGUUUCCAUGUUCUUGGGAUAUGCGUAAAUUAAAAUCUGGUACUGAAACACUCAAGGUCCCAAUGUACCUUCCUUUGGCUCCAUCUACGGAUGCUGCAGAGCAGAGCUUCCUACUUGGUGUCCUGUGGCACUAGCGUACCAGAUGGUACGCUAGGAUGGGCCAAAAGGUGUGUUGUGAAAUGUGGAUGCUCCUAGUCGACCAUCUGUGGCCUGUGUUAUUGCAAAGACCUCCUAACUGUCCUCUCUGUUGUGAUCCUUGCCCCUUUGUGACAGUUAAUUUUGUGUCAACUUGACUGGCCUAAGGGAUGCCCAGAUAGCAUCCUGGGAAGAGACUGGCAUCUGAUUCAGUGGCCUGAGUGAGAAGAUCUGCACACACAAAUGUGGCGGGCAUCACCUAAUCCACUGGGGGCCCGAAUGGAACAAAAGGUGAAGGAAGGGUGAAUUCCCUCUCUUUUCAUGAGCUGAAACAUCCAUCUUCUCCUGCCCUUGGACAUCAGAGCUCCUGAUUCUUAGGCUUUGACCUUAGACCUCAGUUACAGCAUCAACUCCCCUGGUUCUUAGGCCUUGGGACUUAGAGAAUGACACUGCUGGCUCUCCUGGUUCUCCAGCUUGCAGACGGCAGACUGCGGGACUGCCAGGCCUCCAAAAUUGUAAAAGAAGAGGCCUUUCAAGUGGAGUUCAUGCCUUCAUGGUCAGGACAUGGUGAAGGAAAGGAGGCAAAAAGAACAGUGGUCUAAAUCUCAGCAGCACUGAAGACAUUCCGUAAUUCCCAACACUUACGGGGGACUUAUCAGCUGUGGGUGCAGGGAGUCUGCAAGCAUCACCCUACCGAGGAAAACAUUAGAUUUCAGGUACUAUAGAGGGUGAUCAGAAGUGUUGUCCCAUCCAAAAGACUUGAAAAGUUUCCAGGAAAGAGUAGGAGCUGGUGAUGUGUAGGCUGAACGCUCCUGAUGAAGGACAACAUGCCUCAUAGGAGAGCUGGGUGGUCAUAUGAUCAAGCUGACUGAUUAAAAGCUGGCCAACAGUGCCCCUGAAACAUGUAGGGUGGUCUCAGCGCAUAUAUGAACUCUAAGUCAAAACAUCAAUUUAGAGUAGAUAGAGCAUGCACUGAUCUUGAAAAUGGACCUGAAGAUUUAGGUCCUAGCUCAUAUGGAAAGAUCUGGAAGGAGGGUGAUGACUCCCUGGGUCCCACCAGGUGUAGAGCUAGUUGGAUUCUUCCCCCCGGUGCCCCAGUGCCCUUGCUUCAGCUCAGGCGGGCCUUUAUUUCUGUCCAGGAAUCAGGAUCAGAUCUCAUCCAACUUCUGCAUUCAUUUCAGUGGUUUACUAAACAUAUAUAUGUUGGGCAUUGUAUUAGCUGCUGGGAAUACAAAACAUGACGUA